rnacentral:rRNA from 1 species
AUUGAACGCUGGCGGCAUGCUUUACACAUGCAAGUCGAACGGUAACAGCACUUCGGUGGCUGACGAGUGGCGAACGGGUGAGUAAUACAUCGGAACGUGCCUCGUAGUUGGGGAUAACUACUCGCAAGAGUAGCUAAUACCGAAUGAGAUCUAAGGAUGAAAGCAGGGGACCUUAGGGCCUUGCGCUACUAGUGCGGCUGAUGGCAGAUUAGGUAGUUGGUGGGUUAAAAGCUUACCAAGCCGACGAUCUGUAGCUGGUCUGAGAGGACGACCAGCCACACUGGGACUGAGACACGGCCCAGACUCCUACGGGAGGCAGCAGUGGGGAAUUUUGGACAAUGGGCGCAAGCCUGAUCCAGCAAUGCCGCGUGCAGGAUGAAGGCCUUCGGGUUGUAAACUGCUUUUGUACGGAACGAAAAGCCCUCUUCUAAUACAGGAGGGUCAUGACGGUACCGUAAGAAUAAGCACCGGCUAACUACGUG